GACCAUCUUAAAUUUUGCUUUUACUCAAAGGGUUUUAUCCUUUUGCUUUCCCUUCAAAUCGUUUCGGGGAGUUUUCAUAAGUUUUAAGUUUUUUUGUUGGGUUUAUGUUAACUUUUGCAGAGAACAAGAAAGUGGGUUGGCUUUAGAAAUGGUUCUUUGGUUUUCUCAUCCUAUAUAGCUUGUUUUCCUUUGGUAUUUCUGUGGCUUUCGGUAAUUUCAACUACUAGGAUGAGAUUCUCGUAUUUUGUAAAAUUUUUGGAUUUCUCGUUUAUUUCCUGAAUCCUAAUGUGAAGACAUUGUGAUUGGGAAGGAUUGAGUUUUCGAUCCGAUUGCCUGGUUCAGUGAUUAGUAUUUUCUCGUGAUUGACAACCGAAAAAUUUUAUGGUUUAAUGGAGCUUUGGUUCGGAUUUCUUUCACUUUUUCCAAAUCUUUUGAAUUUUUUUGUUUGUCCCCUGAAUCCUAACGUUAAGAUAUUGUGAUUCUUGGCAUGAGUAUAGAUUGGAUUAUUCCACGAAUAUUUGGAAGGAUUAAAUUGAAUGUUUGGAGCCAUUACCUGGUCCAAAUCUGUUCUUCUGGUGUUUUCAUGAUGUUGAUGCCUCAUUGAUCUUGAAUCUUUUUCAUGAUUCUUGGUUUAUUUUGUGGUAUAUUCUCCCUUGCUUUGACCAAUAUUGCUUUUAGUGGUCUUUGUUCACGCUUUUGGUAAUUUGAAGUGAUUUCAAUCACUGGAUAUAGGUUCAUGCAAUUUUUCCUCUAUAUAGAUUAUAG
rnacentral:lncRNA from 1 species